CACAGCAUGUCUUAGAUUUUUUAAAAUAAUGCUAGGAGAGUACACAGAAGAAGAAAAGUAGCUAUGUUGGACCCCAAAGACUGCGGUGAACCGCUUUCUUAAUGUCCAGUGUCUUAAUAUUUGGUGAAAUAUGU